GGAAUUUUGGACAAUGGGCGCAAGCCUGAUCCAGCAAUGCCGCGUGCAGGAUGAAGGCCUUCGGGUUGUAAACUGCUUUUGUACGGAGCGAAAAGGCUCUCUCUAAUACAGGGGGCUCAUGACGGUACCGUAAGAAUAAGCACCGGCUAACUACGUGCCAGCAGCCGCGGUAAUACGUAGGGUGCAAGCGUUAAUCGGAAUUACUGGGCGUAAAGCGUGCGCAGGCGGUUAUGUAAGACAGAUGUGAAAUCCCCGGGCUCAACCUGGGAACUGCAUUUGUGACUGCAUAGCUAGAGUACGGCAGAGGGGGAUGGAAUUCCGCGUGUAGCAGUGAAAUGCGUAGAUAUGCGGAGGAACACCGAUGGCGAAGGCAAUCCCCUGGGCCUGUACUGACGCUCAUGCACGAAAGCGUGGGGAGCAAACA
rnacentral:rRNA from 1 species